rnacentral:pre_miRNA from 1 species
CUUCUUACCCUGUUAAUCGGAGAAGUGCUAUGAGCUCCCUGCUUCUCGUUUCACAGGGUAUAUUU